rnacentral:sRNA from 1 species
UGCUUGAUGUCAUAUAAGCACUAGCCCC